AGCGAACGCUGGCGGCAGGCUUAACACAUGCAAGUCGAGCGGGCAUAGCAAUAUGUCAGCGGCAGACGGGUGAGUAACGCGUGGGAACGUACCUUUUAGUUCGGAACAACUGAGGGAAACUUCAGCUAAUACCGGAUAAGCCCUUACGGGGAAAGAUUUAUCGCCGAAAGAUCGGCCCGCGUCUGAUUAGCUAGUUGGUGAGGUAAUGGCUCACCAAGGCGACGAUCAGUAGCUGGUCUGAGAGGAUGAUCAGCCACAUUGGGACUGAGACACGGCCCAAACUCCUACGGGAGGCAGCAGUGGGGAAUAUUGGACAAUGGGCGCAAGCCUGAUCCAGCCAUGCCGCGUGAGUGAUGAAGGCCCUAGGGUUGUAAAGCUCUUUUGUGCGGGAAGAUAAUGACGGUACCGCAAGAAUAAGCCCCGGCUAACUUCGUG
rnacentral:rRNA from 1 species